ACUAGUGGCGCACGGGUGCGUAACGCGUAACCAACCUACCCGAAUCUGGGGGAUAGCCCGCCGAAAGGCGGAUUAAUACCGCAUAAAACUGCAGCCUGGCAUCGGGUAACAGUUAAAGAUUUAUUGGAUUCGGAUGGGGUUGCGUGCCAUUAGCUAGUUGGCGGGGUAACGGCCCACCAAGGCGACGAUGGCUAGGGGAGCUGAGAGGCUGGUCCCCCACACGGGCACUGAGAUACGGGCCCGACUCCUACGGGAGGCAGCAGUAGGGAAUAUUGGGCAAUGGGCGAGAGCCUGACCCAGCCAUGCCGCGUGCAGGAUGAAGGCUUUCUGAGUCGUAAACUGCUUUUACCAGGGAAGAAAAAAGGGGAUGCGUCCUCUACUGACGGUACCUGGUGAAUAAGCACCGGCUAACUCCGUGCCAGCAGCCGCGGUAAUACGGAGGGUGCAAGCGUUGUCCGGAUUUAUUGGGUUUAAAGGGUGCGUAGGCGG
rnacentral:rRNA from 1 species